AGGGGUAUAGCUCAGUGGUAGAGUGCACGCUUAGUAUGCAGGAGGUACUGGGUUCAAUCCCCAGUGCCUCCA
rnacentral:tRNA from 1 species